AGAAACGUUAUGACGGGACCAGUAAAAAAGAAAGUGACGCUUCAGAGAGCAAGUUCCAAAGGCUGCAAGAACUUGCCGUCGGACGCUUUUUGAACCUACCCCCGAACGGCCGGCCGAAAUGCCGGACAGUGCCUACUGUUACAAGGCAUGCGAGCAGGGCGAUGCAAAUCGCCAAAAAAGGUGGUACCGCGGAAGCCAGACUUUCGUCCUUUUC
rnacentral:ncRNA from 1 species